AGUGAACGCUGGCGGUAGGCCUAACACAUGCAAGUCGAACGGCAGCACAGUAAGAGCUUGCUCUUACGGGUGGCGAGUGGCGGACGGGUGAGGAAUACAUCGGAAUCUACUUUUUCGUGGGGGAUAACGUAGGGAAACUUACGCUAAUACCGCAUACGACCUACGGGUGAAAGCAGGGGAUCUUCGGACCUUGCGCGAUUGAAUGAGCCGAUGUCGGAUUAGCUAGUUGGCGGGGUAAAGGCCCACCAAGGCGACGAUCCGUAGCUGGUCUGAGAGGAUGAUCGGCCACACUGGAACUGGGACACGGUCCAGACUCCUACGGGAGGCAGCAGUGGGGAAUAUUGGUCAAUGGGCGCAAGCCUGAUCCAGCCAUACCGCGUGGGUGAAGAAGGCCUUCGGGUUGUAAAGCCCUUUUGUUGGGAAAGAAAAGCAGCAGGUUAAUACCCCGCUGUUCUGACGGUACCCAAAGAAUAAGCACCGGCUAACUUCGUG
rnacentral:rRNA from 1 species